rnacentral:rRNA from 1 species
CCUACGGGUGGCAGCAGUGGGGAAUAUUGGACAAUGGGGAGAACCCUGAUCCAGCCAUGCCGCGUGUGUGAAGAAGGCCCUCGGGUUGUAAAGCACUUUCAGUGAGGAAGAACGCCUGGUGGUUAAUACCCAUCAGGAAAGACAUCACUCACAGAAGAAGCACCGGCUAACUCCGUGCCAGCAGCCGCGGUAAUACGGAGGGUGCGAGCGUUAAUCGGAAUUACUGGGCGUAAAGCGCGCGUAGGUGGCUUGAUAAGCCGGUUGUGAAAGCCCCGGGCUCAACCUGGGAACGGCAUCCGGAACUGUCAAGCUAGAGUGCAGGAGAGGAAGGUAGAAUUCCCGGUGUAGCGGUGAAAUGCGUAGAGAUCGGGAGGAAUACCAGUGGCGAAGGCGGCCUUCUGGACUGACACUGACACUGAGGUGCGAAAGCGUGGGUAGCAAACAGGAUUAGAUACCCCAGUAGUC